rnacentral:tRNA from 2 species
GCGGGCGUCGCCAAGUGGUAAGGCAUUAGCCUUCCAAGCUAACAUCCGUCGGUUCGAAUCCGAUCGCCCGCU